GUGUCCAGCUGUGGCGCUGGUGCCCCGGUGCCCCUAAUGAAGCCUGCUGCUGUGGUUGGUAGAUGUAGACGGCUGGGGUGCUGGCAUCUCAGUGCUGGGUACCUGAAGCUACCUGAGCUGGAUGGCGGGGUGCUGACCACUUGAUGUGGUUGUCCUGUGUGAUGUAGGCUGCUGGUGCGGUCAACCCCAAUAGAGAUGGAGGCCUACGUGACCGUAGAUGUCGCGAGUCCAUCCAAAUAAUUCAGCGUCUGAUGGGGAUAGCAACUUGCCAACACUUCUUCGAAGAGAGGGAGAGAGGACAUGCAGACAUCCUUUCAUGUUGCUGAUGACAGACCACAGGACAUUCACUGUGCCGAAGAGAGGAGGAAAGGACGUUCUGAAUGGAGCUUCUUGCUUCCUUUUUAGGAUCUUUUUCCUCCAGCUACAACAACUCAAGUUUCCCGAAGCUUUUCAACCAUCCUACAAGCAAUGCAGUAUAUUGGCCCCUUAAGUCAGCUGCAGGGCUUAUUAAGUGAAAUUACUCAGUGUUGAACAAGAGUAAACACACUGAGAGAAA